rnacentral:sRNA from 1 species
UUUACAGCUAUCGAUGCCAGUUCUCAGAAUUUGCAAGACCUCAAUCUUCUACAAACUAAUAUUAAGACAUGCAAAAACUGUUUUUCAUCACGAAAAUGUUUAUAACCGAUAGUUGCUAUCGAUAGUGCUGGGCGAUAGUUCGCCACCCAAAGUGUCACCAGUGAAACGCCAGUUCUUUAUUUUUACGAACGUUGCUCGAGGAGUCAGGAUAAUUUGAAUCUGGUUGUUUUCAGUUCACACCUAGCUUAGGAAAGGGUGU